UCCUACGGGUGGCAGCAGUCGGGAAUAUUGGGCAAUGGGGGAAACCCUGACCCAGCAACGCCGCGUGAAGGAAGAAGGUCUUCGGAUUGUAAACUUCUUUGAUCAGGGACGAAACAAAUGACGGUACCUGAAGAACAAGCCACGGCUAACUACGUGCCAGCAGCCGCGGUAAUACGUAGGUGGCAAGCGUUAUCCGGAUUUACUGGGUGUAAAGGGCGUGUAGGCGGGUUUGCAAGUUGGAUGUGAAAUCCUCAGGCUUAACCUGAGAGGGUCAUCCAAAACUGCAGAUCUUGAGUACUGGAGAGGAUAGUGGAAUUCCUAGUGUAGCGGUAAAAUGCGUAGAUAUUAGGAGGAACACCAGUGGCGAAGGCGACUAUCUGGACAGUAACUGACGCUGAGGCGCGAAAGCGUGGGGAGCAAACAGGAUUAGAUACCCCAGUAGUCC
rnacentral:rRNA from 1 species